UACAGAGGGUGCGAGCGUUAAUCGGAAUUACUGGGCGUAAAGCGUGCGUAGGUGGUUGUAUAAGUUAGGUGUGAAAUUCCUGGGCUUAACCUGGGAACUGCGCCUAAUACUGUAUAGCUAGAGUAUUGUAGAGGAAAGUGGAAUUUCCGGUGUAGCGGUGAAAUGCGUAGAUAUCGGAAGGAACAUCAGUGGCGAAGGCGGCUUCCUGGACUUAUACUGACGCUGAGGCGCGAAAGCCAGGGGAGCAAACGGG
rnacentral:rRNA from 1 species